GUUAAAGUGAUAGAUUAAUGCUCGAGAACGUCAAAGGCGUGAAUAUUAUCACAAACAGAACUUUAGUAAUCAAGAAAUUGAGGUAAAUGCAGGACACAAUUUGAGACUCGCCGGGACAUUAAGUAUUAGCCUGAUGACGUAGGCACUCCUAAUUAUAAUUUUGUCACUAGCACUCAACCACUCAUAAUUAAAAUAUAAUUGCAUUGCAUUAUGAGACAGCAGGAAAUACUACUUGUCCAGUUCUAUUUGAUUCAUAGUAAAAAUGACUGAUUCACAUUACCCUUGACAACAACACGGGCGUUUGAAAGGUUUCAUUUUUGCUCGACUCUGCGGCACCCAUGCUUUUGCAUUUCAGUAGCUUCGUUAUCUCUUAGUUCUGCGCUGGUUUUGCUGACUCUCGAAACUCGCACAAACGGCAAGUAGCAGAUAAUGCCCUAUCAAUGUGAUGUGAAGAGUCAAGAUGUCAAGAGCUGCAGUGGCAAAUCCAACACUAUGUAUAGGCUCAGUUUCUCUAUGGCCGCAUGUUUGUUUUGCGGAACAAACCGUACCGCCCUUUGUCAAGCGCCGUUUUACUGACCGACAGCAGUAAAGGGCACUGAUGGCAUAUGCUACGUCACCCCCCCCCCCCCCCCCUGCUCAAGGGCUAAGUCUUUUCUUAGCAUGAAACAAGCCCUGCGAGGUUUCUGGAAUGGUAUUUUAAAAGUUCAGGUUGACUUAAUAUUUGCCUUUAGUGUCCCUUUAAUAAUGGCAAUAAUGUUGCAAUGUGCAGGCAUGAGGAUGGCGAGUCUAGAGCAUGUCUUUCAGAGUGUUGUUUCAAUGGGCUUAGACGACGUGUAAUGUUGUGAGCACAUCAUCUGCAAGUUAACAGUGUUUACUCAUUUCUAUGCUUGCUUAAAGUUCAGCAAGCUGAAUGAAAUAAAUGUGUGCAAGUAAACCAAUGCCGAUAAAAACUGCCUGACAGAAUGAAUCUGUGAAGCCUGUUGUGAUGUCCCUAAUGUUAAAUGUGUGUUGCCAGCUGCAAGGCUGAUAACCUGCUCAGACCCAGAAGAGGCUUAAGCCAAGUACAACACCCAAAAUUAUUGUAAUGAUAA
rnacentral:lncRNA from 1 species